rnacentral:rRNA from 1 species
GAUGAACGCUAGCGGCAGGCCUAAUACAUGCAAGCCGAACGGUAACUUGAAUAGCAAUAUUUGAGCUAGAGUGGCGUAAGGGUGCGUAACACGUAUGCAAUCUGCCCGCAACAGGAGAAUAGCUCCCCGAAAGGGGAAUUAAUACUCCAUAACACCAUUUGAGGGCAUCUGAAGAUGGUUAAACUACAAGGGGUUGCGGAUGAGCAUGCGGUUGAUUAGCUAGUUGGCGGGGUAACGGCCCACCAAGGCGAUGAUCAAUAGGGGAACUGA